UACGUAGGGUGCAAGCGUUGUCCGGAAUUAUUGGGCGUAAAGAGCUCGUAGGCGGUCUGUCGCGUCGGAUGUGAAAACCCGGGGCUUAACCCCGGGCCUGCAUUCGAUACGGGCAGACUCGAGUGUGGUAGGGGAGACUGGAACUCCUGGUGUAGCGGUGAAAUGCGCAGAUAUCAGGAAGAACACCUAUGGCGAAGGCAGCACUCUGGGACGGUACUGACGCUGAGACGCGAAAGCGUGGGGAGCGAACAGG
rnacentral:rRNA from 1 species